CGCGGGCUUGGCGCCGUGGGAGACGCUGGCGUGGAAGGCGAGGUCGGCGUCGGCGACUUGGAUGGCGACGGCGCGGACGGCGAGGCCGUGUUUGGCGGAGAAGGCGCGGGAGGCGGAGUGGUCGAAGCUGGGGAUGGAGGCGGAGGAGGUGGGCCCAGAGAGAGAAGGGGAGUAAGGGGCGGAGAAGAGGAAGGAGAGGUCGGCGGAGCGGAGGAGGUAGGAGGCGUGGGAGUGGUUGCCGGUGGAGAGGUCAGACUUGGCGACCAAGGGCAUGCCGAGGCCCCAGGAGAAGCGGAGGGCGGUGUUGGUGGCGUCGGUGCACCAGAACUCGAUGUGGUGGAAGCGGGUGACGGCGAACCGGUCGGAGCGGGGGUUGGAGCGGACGAAGUUGGAGAAUCCGACGAGGUUGAACUGGGUCGUCUCGGUUUGGUGGCCCAUUGUGGUGUGCUGACUGUGGUGAGGUCCGUGAGGAGGGUAUACUGGUAUGGUACCUAUAGUAGUAGUGACUGAGAGGGUGGACUUUUGGAGGGAAGCGGUGGGGACACGUAGACGUGGAUUGGGGUUUUAUCUUGUGUGGGGACACGUGGCGGGGUAUGGGUGGAGGGGGAGGAGGGGUUUUGAGUGACGCAACUCCAUACCGGCUAGGGGAUCAUGGAGGAGGAAAAACUGAAGUUUGGGACUUGUGUGUGUUUGGGGUUUUCCUGAGAGGGAAAGGAUAGAAUACGGGGAGAACGAAUGCGAUGGUUUUCUAUUGAGACGUGUGG
rnacentral:lncRNA from 1 species